UACGUAGGCAGCAAGCGUUGUUCGGAGUUACUGGGCGUAAAGGGUGCGUAGGCGGUUGUUUAAGUUUGGUGUGAAAUCUCCCGGCUCAACUGGGAGGGUGCGCCGAAUACUGAAUGACUCGAGUGCGGGAGAGGAGAGUGGAAUUCCUGGUGUAGCGGUGAAAUGCGUAGAUAUCAGGAGGAACACCUGUGGCGAAAGCGGCUCACUGGACCACAACUGACGCUGAUGCACGAAAGCUAGGGGAGCAAACAGG
rnacentral:rRNA from 1 species